rnacentral:sRNA from 1 species
GCAGAAAAUGUGCUAGAUUGGAGGUGAAGACCCUGGAGCCAGAUAGCCUAGGCUUAGUCCUAGCCCUGCACUGAAGACACUUCUGAGAAAUUCAUCAGGCUGUGAAGCGCGCCGUGAUGAAUAUCGAACAGAGUUUACCACAGCUUUGCAGCGCGUUGACUUAUUCAUGGGUCAAUUCAGCGAAGUCCUCUUAACAUCUAUAUCCACCUUCAUUAAAGGAGACCUCACCAUAGCUAAUCUUGGGACAUCAGAGGGUCGCUUCAUGCAGGUUGUGGUUUCUCGAUCAGGACCAUCAACCCCUCAUGUGAAUUUUCUCCUGGACUCCCAUCCGGUGUCUCCAGAAGUGAUUGUGGAGCAUCCAUUAAACCAGAAUGGCUACACACUGGUUGUCACUGGGAAGAAGAUCACGAAGAUCCCAUUGAAUGGCUUGGGCUGCAGACAUUUCCAGUCCUGCAGUCAGUGCCUCUCUGCCCCACCCUUUGUUCAGUGUGGCUGGUGCCAUGACAAAUGUGUGCGAUCGGAGGAAUGCUCGAGCGGGACAUGGACUCAACAGAUCUGUCUGCCUGCAAUCUACAAGGUUUUCCCAAGUAGUGCACCCCUUGAAGGAGGGACAAGGCUGACCAUAUGUGGCUGGGAC